GACGAACGCUGGCGGCGUGCUUAACACAUGCAAGUCGAGCGGUAAGGCCCUUUCGGGGGUACACGAGCGGCGAACGGGUGAGUAACACGUGGGUGACCUGCCUUUAGCUCUGGGAUAAGCCUGGGAAACUGGGUCUAAUACCGGAUACGACUCCGCGGUGCAUGCUGUGGGGUGGAAAGCCUUGUGCGGCUGGAGAUGGGCCCGCGGCCUAUCAGCUUGUUGGUGGGGUGAUGGCCUACCAAGGCGACGACGGGUAGCCGGCCUGAGAGGGCGACCGGCCGACACUGGGACUGAGACACGGCCCAGACUCCUACGGGAGGCAGCAGUGGGGAAUCUUGCGCAAUGGGCGAAAGCCUGACGCAGCGACGCCGCGUGAGGGAUGACGGCCU
rnacentral:rRNA from 1 species